ensembl:lncRNA
GCAGGGUCUUCGUGCCGAGCGGGACCUCGGGCGCGGGAGUCGUCCGUGUGGGCUCCGAGCAGCCGGGCCGCCCUCCCUGCGACCCGCACCCCGGCGCCGCGUGGCUGUCUCCGCGCCCCCAGCCCCGACACCCCGUACCCGUGCGGCCUCCGAGCUCCGCCCGCGUCCCUAGGCGUCGCAGAACCGAUUUGCCAGGUAGAUAAAGAAGCUGUUACUAUCCUCCUUUACAAAAGAGGAAACGCGGCUCCAGCAGGUUAGCGGGUGAGGGUGAGAAGACUUUGCCAAAUUGCCCUCUCACGAAAAGACUUCCAGCGCGGCAAAGAAAAAACCAGUUGCGAGGGCUAUUUAAUGAGAACGUAUUUAUUACAGUGAUAGCAGUGGACUAAUGCAGUGUUCGCUGGCCGUCCGUGUGGGGUUUACUAACAGAAAAGAUGGCCUUUUGCUUCUCUUGUUUUACUAACUCAGCACAGGGGCUGUGACUUUAGGUGAGGUCGCAGGAAGUCACAUCCCCGGUAUAAAUUUUACAGAUGCCUUUUUAUAAGCAGGUUAGGUGGUCAGUAGGAGCAGUGCUGAGAGAGGAGAGAAGGUUGUGUUUUUUGUGUUUUGUUUUGAGUGUCGCCUGGGAGGGCCGAGCGGGAGUGGGGUGUAAAGCAGGGGGAGGAGUGGAUUGAGGAGAAUUAAGUAUCUGGAUUAAGUCUAGGCCUGCCAGUUGUCCACAGUAGCUACCAGCCACAUGUAAUUACUAUCACUGGAGAUGUGGCUAGUUGAAAUUGAGGUGAGCUGUGCAUUGUAUAAAACACACAGAAUUUUGAAGACUGAAGUAUGAAAAAGAAGGUAAAAUAUCUCAUUUAAAAAUAUUGCUGAUUUGUCAAGUUGUGAUAUUUUGGAUUUUGCUGUUUAGUCGCUUAGUCGAGUCUGACUCUUUGUGACCCCACAGACUGUAGGCUACCAGGCUCCUCUGUCCAUGAGAUUCUCCAGGCAAGAGUACUGGAGUGGAUUGCUAUUUCCUUCUCCAGGGAAUCUUCCUGACACAGGGAUCAAACCCUUGUCUCCAGCUUGGCAGGUGGAUUCUUUACCACUGAGCCACCAGGGAAACCCAAUAUUCUGGAUAUGUUGGUUAAAUAAAACAUCUGUUGUUCAGUCACUCGGUCGUGUCCAACUCUUUGGGACCCCAGGGACUGUAGCGCACCAGGCUUCCCUGUCCUUCAUUAUCUCCUGGAGUUUUCUCAAACUCAUGUCCAUUGAGUCAAUGAUACUAUCCAACCAUCUCAUUCUCUGUCAUAAUAUCAAAUUAAUUCCAUCUGUUGCUCUUGAGUUUUCAGCGCAGCUUCUAGAAGAUGCGAGGUUUCACAGGUGGCACGCGUGGUGUCCCUGGCGGACACCGGUGCAGACAGCGGGGCACUACUGGAUAAGGAUUCCACGUGGAAGGCAGGCCACAGCGUCCGUCUUUUUCCUCCCGAUAAUUACAAAACCACCGAGGCCAAUUUACAAGAAGAAAAAAUAUUUCACCAGCAACAACAGACAGGGAAGGAUGCAAACCCACAUGCCAUAAGGCCAAAGGAGGGGAAGAGGUGCUGGUGGGGCUCUGUGGAACCCCCAGUACCUAAUGAAAGGGAGCUCGCAAAAUCCUGAGGGUCCUGACAGAGCAAGAAUUCACAAUUCAGAAAAGCAGAGGAACCAGAGAUCAAAUUGCCAACAUCCACUAGAUUAUCAAAAAAGCAAGAGAGUUCCAGAAAAACAACUAUUUCUGCUUUAUUGAUUAUGCCAAAGCCUUUGACUGUGUGGAUCAUAACAAAAUGUGGAAAAUUCUUCAAUAGACGGGAAUACCAGACUACCUUACCUGCCUCCUGAGAAAUCUGUCUGCAGGUCAGGACACAACAGUUAGAACUGGACAUGGAGCAACAGACGGGUUCCAAAUUGGGAAAGGAGUACGUCAAGGCUGUGUAUUGUCACCCUGCUUAUUUAACUUAUAUGCAGAGUACAUCAUGUGAAAUGCCGGGCUGGAUGAAG